rnacentral:lncRNA from 1 species
UUCACAUCCUCAGUGAGUUCACUGAUGUUUGCAUCAGUGCUUUCGGUUAUUGCUUCUGUUUCUUUGGCUUCAGCGUCCUUCACCUCUUCUGCCGGCAGGUCACUUGCUGAUAUGUUUUCUUCCACUUCAACAGGUUCAGUAUUCUUGAUUUCUUCUAGUUCUGGAUCUUGUGCUUGUGGUAUGUCAACUGUUGCCUCAGUUGCUAUCACAUGCUCUUCAGGAUCUGCCUCGUCAACAUUAGUUUUGACAUCCUCAGUGAGCUCACUGAUGUUCUCAUCAGUGCUCUCAUUGAUUGCUUCAGAGUUCUUCACCUCUUCUGUCUGCAUGUCACUUGCUGACAUGUUUUCUUCCACCUCAACAGGUUCAGUAUUCUUGAUCUCUUCUAGUUCCAGCUCCUGUGCUUGUGGUAUGUUAACUGUUGCCUCAGUUGCUAUUACAUGUUCUUCAGGAGCUGCCUCGUCUGCAAGCGCAACAUUAGUUUUGACAUCCUCACUGAGCUCACUGAUGUUCGCAUCAGUGCUCUCGUUGAUUGCUUCAGUGUCCUUCACCUCUUCUGCCUGCAUGUCACUUGCUGACAUCUUUUCUUCCACUUCAACAGGUUCAGUAUUCUUUAUCUCUUCUACUUCUGGCUCUUGUACUUGUGGCAUAUCAACUGUAUCAUCAGCUACUGUUAUAUGUUCUUCAGGAGCUGCCUCAUCUGCAAGAGCAACAUUGUUUUUCACAUCUUCAGUGAGCUCAGUGUUGUUUGCAUCAGUGUUCUCAUUGAUUGCUUCAGUCUCUAUGGCUUCAGUAUCCUUCACCUCUUCUGCUGGCAGAUAAUUUGCUGAUAUGUUUUCUUCCACUUCAGCAGGCUCAGUACUCUUGGUCUCUUCUAGUUCUGGCCCUUGUGCUUCUGGUAUGUCAACUGUUGCCUCAGUUGCUAUUACAUGCUCUUCAGGAGCUGCCUCGUCUGCAGGAACAACAUUGCUUGUCACAUCCUCAGGUAGCUCACUGGUGUUUGCAACAGUUCUCUCGUUGAUUGCUUCAGUUUCCUUCACCUCUUCUGCUUGCAGGUCACUUGCUGAUCUAUUUUCUUCCACCUCAACAGGUUCAGUAUUCUCGAUCUCUUCUAGUUCCGGCUCCUGUGCUUGUGGUAUGUCAACUGUUCUCUCAGUUACUGUUACCUGCUCUGCAUGAGGUUCCUCGUCUGCAAGUGCAACAUUGCUUUUCACAUCCUCAUUGAGCUCGCUGAUGUUUGCAUCAGUCCUUUCGCUGAUUGCUUCAGUUUCCUUGGGUUCAAUUUCCUUGACCUCUUCUGCUGACAGGUCACCUGCUUCAGUAUUCUUGAUCUUUUCUAGCUCCGGCUCUUGUGCUUGUGGUAUAUCGGCUGUUGUCUCGGCUACUGUUACAUGUUCUUCAUGAGCUGCCUCAUCUAUAAGAGCAACGUUGCUUUUCAUAUCUUCAGUAAGCUCACUGAUGUUUGCAUCACUGCUCUCGUUGAUUGCAUCAGUUUCCUUGGCUUCAGUGUCCUUCACCUCUUCUGCCAGCAUGUCAUUAGCUGAUGCGUUUUCUUCCACCUCAACAGGUUCAACAUUCUCAAUCUCUUCUAGGUCUGGCUCUUGUGCUCGUGGAAUAUCAACUGUUGCCUCAGUUGCUGUUACAUGCUCUUCAGGAGCUGCCUCGUCUGCAGGAGUAACAUUGCUUGUCACAUUCCCGGUGAGCUCGCUGAUGUUUGCAUCAGUGCUCUCGUUAAUUGCUUCAGUUUCCUUGGCUUCAAUUUCCUUCACCUCUUCUGCUGGCAGGUCACCUGUUGAUCUGUUUUCUUCUACCUCGUCAGGUUCAACAUUCUCGAGCUCUUGUAGUUCUGACACUUGUGCUUGUGGUAUAUCAACUGCUGCCUCAGCUGCUGUUACAUGCUCUUCUGGAGCUGCCUCAUCUGCACGAGUAACAGUACUUUUCACAUCCUCAGUGAGUUCACUGAUGUUUGCAUCAGUGCUCUCAGUUAUUGCUUCUGUUUCUUUGGCUUCAGCGUCCUUCACCUCUUCUGCCGGCAG